GGAACAUUCUCUUAUCAUGUGUCGUGAUAAAAAUCAAAUUAAAUUAAAAUAACGAGAUAAUAUAAAGAUUAUGAUGAUACAGUGCGAUGCAAACAAAUCUACUGCCCCUGACUAUUCCAGACUGCCGACCAGUUAUAACGAGUUCUAUCAACUUCUGUGGAGUCAGCAAGGCUCUGGAGACAAAAUACACUGUCUUACGACAGAAGCUAUUGGUUGAUUGCUUGCGAAUUAGGAUGGGAACUGACCAAUUGGAGGCCAUGUAUCAAAACGACAAGCAGCAAAAAGUGAUGAUCCUGGAUAAUCAAGCUGUGGAACAAAUCCA